rnacentral:rRNA from 1 species
UAGGGAAUCUUCGGCAAUGGACGGAAGUCUGACCGAACAACGCCGCGUGAGUGAAGAAGGUUUUUGGAUCGUAAAGCUCUUUUGUUAGAGAAGAACGUUGGUAGGAGUGGAAAAUCUACCAAGUGACGGUAACUAACCAUAAAGGGACGGCUAACUACGUGCCAGCAGCCGCGGUAAUACGUAGGUCCCGAGCGUUGUCCGGAUUUAUUGGGCGUAAAGCGAGCGCAGGCGGUUCUUUAAGUCUGAAGUUAAAGGCAGUGGCUUAACCAUUGUACGCUUUGGAAACUGGAGGGCUUGAGUGCAGAAGGGGAGAGUGGACUUCCAUGUGUAGCGGUGAAAUGCGUAGAUAUAUGGAGGAACACCGGUGGCGAAAGCGGCUCUCUGGUCUGUAACUGACGCUGAGGCUCGAAAGCGUGGGGAGCAAACAGG